UUGGUUCUUAUAGGCAACUGGUCAACGUUUUCUCUGUACAGGUUUAUGGAAUCACAGAAAUUCUGAUGUGUUCUCGAAUUGGAUGCCUUACGAAUCAACUAGUUAUCCUCUAUCCCGAGGGUGGGGGAAAUAAUAAAAAUGUUGUAUUUAUAUCAGAAUUCUGUAUUAUAUCAGUAAAACUGCUGUACAUGCUGUAGGUUCACCAAAAACUACGAGAUUGUGGACUGUGCGUCAGAUGGUGCUGUGACUUCCUGCUGUGAUAGAGGUAGAGAGAGCUGUAUCAUCCAGUAUCUAGUGAUCCAAUGAAAUCAGAAAUGUAGGUUUGUAUCUCUUUGGAGAAGCAAAGAAGAUGCUGCAGUUCCACAGGCAGGCAGAUCAUCGCACCAGAGAUCCAUCCAUAUACCCAGUGGACAUGAGGGAGAAGCCACACUAAGCAUGGACGGCCACCUCAACACAAUCACUGAGGUGGACACAGCAAAGCCAUUGAAAAGCAACAGCAGGUGGCACUAUACUAACAUUAUUCCUGGAUAGUGUUUUUAUGUAGUUCUGACUAUGGGAUGUGACACACUCAAGUAUCAGUACAAGGCAGAAAAAAAGCGUAAGAAGGUCUUUCUUCAGCAUAAGCCUGUCUUAUACCGAGACGCCUGCUCUCUGAACUAAUCUACUAUGCAUGUGAGGAGGAUGCGCCAUGUUACAUGUUCAGCCGUAUAAAUAUUCAUGUACAAUGAGUCACUGCAAUACAGAACCUUCCUGAGGAAAUCCAGCAGAAAUGUAUUAUG